rnacentral:rRNA from 1 species
CAAUAGCGUAUAUUAAAGUUGUUGCAGUUAAAAAGCUCGUAGUUGGAUUUGUGGCGGUUUGGUUGGUCCAAAUUGUUUGGUGCCUUACUGAACUGCCAUCUUUGGUCGGAACCGGUGUGGCAUUAGGUUGUCGUGCCGGAGAUGUCCAUCGUUUACUGUGAAAAAAUUAGAGUGUUCAAAGCAGGCUUAUGCCGUUGAAUAGAUUAGCAUGGAAUAAUGAGAUAGGACUUCGGUACUAUUUUGUUGGUUUGUGCACCGAGGUAAUGAUUAAUAGGGACAGUUGGGGGUAUUUGUAUUCCAUUGUCAGAGGUGAAAUUCUUGGAUUUUUGGAAGACGAACUACUGCGAAAGCAUUUACCAAGGAUGUUUNCAUUAA